UACGUAGGGGGCAAGCGUUGUCCGGAAUUAUUGGGCGUAAAGAGCGCGUAGGCGGUCCGAUAAGUCGGCUGUGAAAGUCAGGGGCUCAACCCUUGAAAGCCGGCCGAUACUGUCGGACUAGAGUCCGGAAGAGGCAAGUGGAAUUCCCGGUGUAGCGGUGAAAUGCGCAGAUAUCGGGAGGAACACCAAUGGCGAAGGCAGCUUGCUGGGACGGUACUGACGCUGAGGCGCGAAAGCGUGGGAGCA
rnacentral:rRNA from 1 species